GCGGGUAUGGCCGAGAGGUCAAGGCGGUGGAUUUCCAAUCCUCCUACUCCGGUUCGAGUCCGGAUGCCCGCUCCA
rnacentral:tRNA from 1 species